rnacentral:rRNA from 1 species
UCUGGUGCUUUGUCAGUGGGGAAACACCUCUUCCCAUUUCGAACAGAGAAGUAAAGUCCACCAGAACCGAUGAUACUCUUUAUGGGGAAAGUAGGUAGGCGCCAGUU